rnacentral:tRNA from 1 species
UCCCUGGUGGUCCAGUGGCUGAGACUCUGCACUUCCAAAGCAGGGAGCCCAGGUUUGACCCCUGAUCAGGGAA